UGAUGACACUUUCUCCGGAAUCGCUGUAUAUGUAUGAUGAGUCAAUCUUGAACCCUUUUUGUCUGAUGACUGUCGUCCUUAUU